GACGAACGCUGGCGGCGUGCUUAACACAUGCAAGUCGAACGGAAAGGCCCUGCUUUUGUGGGGUGCUCGAGUGGCGAACGGGUGAGUAACACGUGAGUAACCUGCCCUUGACUUUGGGAUAACUUCAGGAAACUGGGGCUAAUACCGGAUAGGAGCUCCUGCUGCAUGGUGGGGGUUGGAAAGUUUCGGCGGUUGGGGAUGGACUCGCGGCUUAUCAGCUUGUUGGUGGGGUAGUGGCUUACCAAGGCUUUGACGGGUAGCCGGCCUGAGAGGGUGACCGGCCACAUUGGGACUGAGAUACGGCCCAGACUCCUACGGGAGGCAGCAGUGGGGAAUAUUGCACAAUGGGCGGAAGCCUGAUGCAGCAACGCCGCGUGCUGGAUGACGGCCUUCGGAUUGUAAACCGCUUUCGCCUGGGACGAAGCGUGAGUGACGGUAAUGGGUAAAGAAGCACCGGCUAACUACGUG
rnacentral:rRNA from 1 species